rnacentral:rRNA from 1 species
CUCCUACGGGAGGCAGCAGUGGGGAAUAUUGGACAAUGGGGGCAACCCUGAUCCAGCCAUGCCGCGUGGGUGAAGAAGGCCUUCGGGUUGUAAAGCCCUUUUGUACGGGAAGAAAAGCUACCGGGUAAUAUCCGGGAGUCAUGACGGUACCGUAAGGAUAAGCACCGGCUAACUUCGUGCCAGCAGCCGGGUAAUUC